GGGCGAUUAGCUCAGUCGGUUAGAGCGCGGUCCUGAUAAGACCGAGGUCCUUGGUUCGAUUCCAAGAUCGCCCACCA
rnacentral:tRNA from 1 species